GUGAGCUGGCAAUUGGGCAUUGCUAGGGAGACGGAGGCGUGUUCCUGCUCUGCCUGGGCCCUGUUUGACUCUCCGGCCUUGCACCUGCCUGGCGCCGGCGGACAAAGUUUCCUCAAGCCCGUCCUGACGGUGGGGAGCAGCCGAGCCCUCGUAGCAAGAAUUGGCACCAUACAAUUUCCCCUCUUCUCCAACAUUGAAAGAAUACUUUUGACUCCAAUUAAGAAGUUGAAAGGAUUGCCAGGACCAGGUGAAGAGACAAAAUACAGAGAUCUUAUGGGAUAUGUUUAAGAAACUUGCCAUCUUUGUAGUAUUAACCAUAGUAUUUAUAUUUUUAUGAAUGAUAAGGAAAAGAUACAUCCAUUCUCCCCACUUCUCACCCUUCUUUAAAAAUGUGCUUUGAGAAAUUUCAGCUGCACUGUAUAUAAAUAUCUUGGUAUCUAUGAGAACCAUCCUUUGUAGACUACAAGAAAUCACAUAUUCAUUUUAUGGUAAUAUUCAGUACUCCUGGCACUUAAGUAAGACUAGUUUCUUUGGUCAUUCUGCCUCUUUCAUUCUUGUUCUGUCCUAACUCUCUCUUACUUUUUGUGUAGCAAUAUAAAAUACAAGUUAUUUAAUGAUAAAUAGAAAUAAAAUGUUCAGAUUUAUGUAAUUUAAAAUGUUUGUUACAAAAUGUAUAUGAUAUUCUUUCCGCCAUACUGUUUCACGCUAUAUAGAAGCAGUAUAAAAUUUAAGGGGGAAAUGCAUGUUUUAGUGGUUUUUAGUGUUUUUAUUAUCAGAAAUACAUUUAUUACAAAGAGCAACAUUAUCCAUAGAAGACAGAAGAUGGCAGCACAGCAUAACCUUUUUGUCUCUCACUCUUGAAUCUGAUAUUUUCAAAGGUUUGGCUGACUGCCCUGUUUGAGGACAAGGAUCAGGGUAACAUUAAACAUAUGUCCAUGGACAAUCUUCAUGAGAUUACUAUCUACUACUACUACUACUAUUACUACUACUUUUCUAAAGAUUACAAUUACUACCAACUUGCUUUCCAUUAAGGACCUGUAUACUGCACAAGUCAAAAAGAGGCUGUGACCCCUCAACUGUUUCAACUCCUACCCUCAAAACGAUGCUAUAGAGCACUGCACAGCAGAACAACUAGACACAAGGACAGUUUUUUCCUGAAUGCCAUCACUCUGCUAAACAAAUAAUUCCAUCAACACUGUCAAACUAGUCUGCAUUACUAUUAAUCUUCUCAUCGUUCCUAUCACCCAUCUCCUUCCACUUAUGACUGUAACCUUGUUGCUGGUAUCCUUAAGAUUUACAUUGACUGUUUCCCUAUGAUUAUCAUUAAGUGUUGUACUUUAUGAUUCUUGACGAAUGUAUCUUUUCUUUUAUGUACACCGAGAGUGUAUGCACCAAGAUAAAUUCCUUGUGUGUCCAAUCACACUUGGCCGAUAAAGAUAUCUAUUCUAUACUAUUCUGUUCUAUUUUAAAGGUCUUAUCAGUGUCCCCAAUCUUUGCGGCUUGGCAGCCUGGUUGUGGGGGAGAGGGAACUGGGCCAUGUGAGCUAUGGGCUGGUGUGUAUGCAGCUCAACUUGCAUAAGCAGCAGGCAGUGCACACCUGCACAAAUGCCUGGCAGCCUGCUAUUUAUGUAAGUUGAGCUGCACAUGCUCCAGCCACCCACUCAUGCAACCCAAUUCCCAAUAGGCCAUAGCCCGGUAGUAGACGUCAGCUCAAGGGCUGGGGACCUCUGAUCUAUAUAAUACUGCAAGUGCCCAGUUCUUGAUUCUACAUCGCUUUGUCUACAAUGAAACUGUGCAGAGUUUUCAUUGGAGCUCCACCUUCUGUACCACCAAAUCAAUUAGUUUAGUGAUGACCCAUUUAAUAUUACCUAGAUAAUAUUGGAAAUAACUUUAAAAACUAUGUUUCCUCCAAUGACUGAAUGACAUGUUCAUAUUAUAUACUUCACUGAAUCAUAAAGGAGUUAUUUUGCCAUAUAAACAGGCAAACUAGAAACCUAAACCAGAUAAAAGUACUUUUAGUUUGAAACUACCAUAGGUUGAAGUAACUCCAAUUAUAGCAUCUGUCCAUUUUAAAAUUGAGAUUAAAAUCUAGAGCAAACCCAUUAAACAGCACACCGUCUUUGACUACUUUAAUUUUCACACAUAUCCCUAGGCCUAUAGGGAUAAUAAGAUGGUGUGAGGAAGUGAAUAAUCUAAUUCUGGCUGAAAUUGCACAAAUUCCAAUCCUAUCACCUUAUUUUCAAAUUAGUUUUCAUUCAUUCAAUUGUCCUAGAUCAGAUGCUGCCUUAAGAAUUUAUCUCAAUUAGUAUGGGUAAGGAUGACUUGUGAACAUCCUAUAUUAGAUUGGCAUUAAUAUUUAUUUUUCGUAUACAAAAUGUUGGAUGCAAACUAAGAGAUAUAUGUGCAGACAGGAGUCACUAAAAUAACAUUUGCACAAAUGUUAUUAUUUAAAAUAAUUAAUUUUAAAGCAAUGACUAUAAACUUUAAAAAUACAAUCAUUACAUGUUGGAAUGUUAUUUCUGACAGCUUUUAUUAAAUGAAGUUUAAUAUUCUGAACUAUUUGUUAUUUCUAAUAGCAUUUUUUUUCAGAUGUUGUAGCAGAGGUAAACCAUACAGGAGUUGAACAAGUUGCUUAUUUAUUCAUGUGUUCCCAUAUGGCAAUUUAGAAUAUUGGGAAGUUUACACAUUAUGAUUUACAACUGGAAAGACCGCUUGUAGCCAAGAUGAUGGUAAAUGAAGAAUUAUAUCAAAUAUGCCACUUCCAACUUUAAAAGAGAUCUAAAAAAAGUAAUACAGAUGCCUAACACAAGUAAUAUUAGUACAAAGCAAUAACUAAUACCAUCUUCUUCGUUCAAGUGCAGGGAUGUUUUUAGAGAAGACUUUGAAAAAGUCAGGUGGUCAUUACAAAUACAGCAUGAAGUUCGAUCACUUCUUUUACAUGUAUUGCACAUAUAAUGCACACAAAUGGGCAAAAUAUCAAUAGCAUCAUUGCAGCUGUUAUAAUAUAUACUGUAUUUAUAUAUAAAAGUGUAAUAUUAGAUGGGAUGGAAAACUUCACAUAUAUGGUGAAGGUCAAAAUGCUAAUGAUAAGGCACAAUCUCUGUAAAUAAAUCAAUAUAUGAAGACAAAUAAUGCAUAGGCCUGGUAGAAUAAUUCCCCAUCACCACACACAAACAAACAUAGAUAUUCACUCUCAUACACAUAGAGUAUCUGAGAACACUUAAAUUAUAAUAUUUCUCUUAUCAAAUCAGGAGACCUGACAUUUAUUUGAAAAUUGCAUCUCUCUGACUAUGCAAAAUAGAAACUCUUUAAUCUUAAAUAAUUAUCAAUAUUAAUUACAAUAAUAUGUAAAAAUAGAAAACAUUGGAAAUAUUGGAAAUAUUGGAU